UCUACGGGCGGCAGCAGUGGGGAAUAUUGGACAAUGGGCGAAAGCCUGAUCCAGCCAUGCCGCGUGUGUGAAGAAGGCCUUCGGGUUGUAAAGCACUUUCAGUGGGGAAGAAAGCCUUGGGGCUAAUACCCUCGAGGAAGGACAUCACCCACAGAAGAAGCACCGGCUAACUCCGUGCCAGCAGCCGCGGUAAUACGGAGGGUGCGAGCGUUAAUCGGAAUUACUGGGCGUAAAGCGCGCGUAGGCGGUCUGAUAAGCCGGUUGUGAAAGCCCCGGGCUCAACCUGGGAACGGCAUCCGGAACUGUCAGGCUAGAGUGCAGGAGAGGAAGGUAGAAUUCCCGGUGUAGCGGUGAAAUGCGUAGAGAUCGGGAGGAAUACCAGUGGCGAAGGCGGCCUUCUGGACUGACACUGACGCUGAGGUGCGAAAGCGUGGGUAGCAAACAGGAUUAGAUACCCUGGUAGUC
rnacentral:rRNA from 1 species